rnacentral:rRNA from 1 species
AUUGAACGCUGGCGGCAUGCCUUACACAUGCAAGUCGAACGGCAGCACGGGUGCUUGCACCUGGUGGCGAGUGGCGAACGGGUGAGUAAUACAUCGGAACAUGUCCUGUAGUGGGGGAUAGCCCGGCGAAAGCCGGAUUAAAACCGCAUACGAUCUACGGAUGAAAGCGGGGGACCUUCGGGCCUCGCGCUAUAGGGUUGGCCGAUGGCUGAUUAGCUAGUUGGUGGGGUAAAGGCCUACCAAGGCGACGAUCAGUAGCUGGUCUGAGAGGACGACCAGCCACACUGGGACUGAGACACGGCCCAGACUCCUACGGGAGGCAGCAGUGGGGAAUUUUGGACAAUGGGCGAAAGCCUGAUCCAGCAAUGCCGCGUGUGUGAAGAAGGCCUUCGGGUUGUAAAGCACUUUUGUCCGGAAAGAAAUCCUUGGCCCUAAUACGGUCGGGGGAUGACGGUACCGGAAGAAUAAGCACCGGCUAACUACGUG